rnacentral:rRNA from 1 species
CCUACGGGUGGCAGCAGUGGGGAAUAUUGCACAAUGGGGGAAACCCUGAUGCAGCGACGCCGCGUGAGUGAAGAAGUAUUUCGGUAUGUAAAGCUCUAUCAGUAGGGAAGAAAAUGACGGUACCUGAUUAAGAAGCACCGGCUAACUACGUGCCAGCAGCCGCGGUAAUACGUAGGGGGCAACCGUUAUCCGGAUUUUCUGGGUGUAAAGGGAGCGUAGGCGGGCGUACGAGUCUGGAGUGAAAUGCCGGGGCUUAACCCCAGAACUGCUUUGGAAACUGUGCAGCUAGAGUGAAGGAGAGGUAAGUGGAAUUCCUAGUGUAGCGGUGAAAUGCGUAGAUAUUAGGAAGAACACCAGUUGCGAAGGCGGCUUACUGGACUGUAACUGACGUUGAGGCUCGAAAGCGUGGGGAGCGAACAGGAUUAGAUACCCGAGUAGUC